UACAGAGGGGGCAAGCGUUAUUCGGAAUUAUUGGGCGUAAAGGGCGCGUAGGCGGCCUGGCAAGUGGAAGGUGAAAUCCCUCGGCUUAACCGAGGAACUGCCUCCCAAACUGCUUGGCUUGAGACCGGGAGAGGUGAGUGGAAUUCCCAGUGUAGCGGUGAAAUGCGUAGAUAUUGGGAGGAACACCAGUGGCGAAGGCGGCUCACUGGACCGGAACUGACGCUGAGGCGCGAAAGCGUGGGGAGCAAACAGG
rnacentral:rRNA from 1 species